GUAUAGGUUUAUAGGCACAAAGGCCAUUGAUUACAUUCUAUGACAUACAUUGGGGUAUAUGAAGAAACAUAGGCCUGGAAAUGUAAGGAGAGACAUAAUAUCAAUCCUCAAUCCUGAAUGACUAGCAUUCAGAGAGAUAUCCAGGUCUACAAAAGGUGCACAGGUGGAGAUAUAAAGAUGACAAGUGUGCACAUGCUCCCUAGAGAACCAGCAGCAACUCAUCAGGUUUAUUUCAAUAAUGAUCCUUCCGCAGGUUCACCUACGGAAA
rnacentral:misc_RNA from 1 species